GGAUGUGAGGGCGAUCUGGCUGCGACAUCUGUCACCCCACUGAUUGCCAGGGUUGAUUCAGCCGGCUGAUCUGGCUGGCUAGGUGGGUGUCCCCUUCCUCCCUCACCAUUCCAUGUGCGUCCCUCCCGAAGCUGCGUGCUUGGUCAAAGAGGAUGACCAUCCCCGAUAGAGGAGGACCGUUCUUCAGUCAAGGUAUACGAGUAGCUGCGCUCCCCUGCUAGAACCUCCAAACAAGCUCUCCAGACCCUGAAUUCAAACCCAGUAUUGCCAAAAAAAAAAAAAAAAAGAACAAAAAAAGUCUUCUACCUGCAUGGAUCGUUUUUUUUGU
rnacentral:snRNA from 1 species